UACGUAGGGACCAAGCGUUGUUCGGAUUUACUGGGCGUAAAGGGCUCGUAGGCGGCCAACUAAGUCAGACGUGAAAUCCCUCGGCUUAACCGGGGAACUGCGUCUGAUACUGGAUGGCUCGAGUUUGGGAGAGGGAUGCGGAAUUCCAGGUGUAGCGGUGAAAUGCGUAGAUAUCUGGAGGAACACCGGUGGCGAAGGCGGCAUCCUGGACCAACACUGACGCUGGUGAGCGAAAGCCAGGGGAGCAAACGGG
rnacentral:rRNA from 1 species